GUUUUAAUGGGGCAUCUUUUUGCAGAAGAACGCUGAUCAGUGAAACUAACUUGCAGUGUUUUUCCUCAGCCGCAGUCUUGAAACUAUAUGAAUUUCAUUGUUUCUUAUUUUUCACAAACUUAAUUUUGAUAAACAAAGCUAUAAUAAGAGGACAGACUCUUUUAAACAUAUUUACAGAGGAGUCGAAACAAUGACCUCAGCCGCAUACUACUUUGUUGGAGAAAAGUGAAAGAAAAAAAAGGAAGCAGUACAUGAGUGGAAUGAAGUUAGUAGCCUCAACCUGACUGAACAGAAUGCUAUUGCCAUAACGCUAACGGUGAAAUGGAUCAAAAGGAAUUGCCUGACCUUCAUGAAUUCAUCAUGUACUGAGAGGACAACUUCCUGACUGCCGCACAUUGUGGACAAAAGCUGGACUUUUUAUGAACAAUUAGGUACACUCAAUUUUUUUCAUAUCAUAUUGUUUGAAUAUUAUUGAUUUGUAUUUUAUUUAAUUACUUUUUAGUAAAAUAACUCUGACCUAAUAUUGUCUGUUUAUUUACAUGGUCUCAGUGUAGAAAUAUCUUAAACCACUUCUCCAUAUGUUG